UUUUUUUCCAACUUUUUUGUCUUUUUUAAUUUUCGCUUUUUUUUCUUUUUGUUAGCUUACUUAUUUUCUUCUAUUUUUUUCAAUCUUUUUCAUAUUACCUUUACUCAUAUCAAUGGUUAUUUUUUUUACAACCAUAAUUAUUUAACCAAAUAAUUAUAAUUAUAAGUUUUCGUGAGUAAAAUUAACAAUUUUCGUGAAAAAAGUAAUAAUUUUGAAAUAUUACAUUUAUUCUUAUGAAUAAUA
rnacentral:lncRNA from 1 species